AUGGUGCUGUCCUUUCCUUCCGCAGUAUCACUCCACCGAAUUCUAAAGAACUCGCUCCUCCUGUCGGAAAACUGUCUGAGAAUUCCUUGGAUCGAAUAUUAACUGCCAUUUGGAAGGUGUAAUGCUGCGCAUGGCUGCAUAUACAGCAUUCAUGUGUUGUGCCUGAUUGAGUUUUUAUUUUUCUUUUGCAAUGUUUGCGCCGAUGUUGUCUCGGUUGCUCAAGGCUCGUGCCAUUUGAUUCAUGUAGUUCCAGCUUGGCGCCACAGUGGUGGUGAGUAAUGGACGCUCCAAUUCUACGAGGAAUUCCUCAGUGUUCGUCGAGGGCUCGGUGGAUGUUUAUGUUGUCUGCGAGCUGAUCAUUGAAUGGAAGUUCAUCACGCGGAAAAGGCUAGGUUUAAACUGAUUGUCCUGUCCUGGCCCAAGGAAAGGAGGUGAACUCCUACAAAUGCCGGUGGUAUACAAGGGAGUGCAAUCUUUGGUGUGAGUACAUUAGUGAUGCCUUAAUCCUAAACUUUCUACAAGGAAUUUAAUCACAUAGCUUGUAUAAAGGGAUUCUACCAAACAAACCUUGGAAAAGGUUUGUUUGGUAGGUUGGUUGGUAGAAAAGAUCUGGUACUUAUCCAUUUCUCCAAUAUUGAUGCCAACAGGUGCAACUGACUGUCAACAGCAGCCCCAUCCAAACUUUACUAAAGGACAGGGAAGAAGCUUUGGACAAACUUGGGGGCAAGAGAUAAGCCACGAUGUGCACAAAAGGGACAGAGGGAACUCUAAUCUAGGUCACUGCAGCUCAACAGGGCGUACAGGCACUAGCUUCCACACUAGAGGGGCUGCCUACUCGUUUGAGCAUGUGCUCACAUAUUCUCAUACGAAAGCUUCCUUAUCGGUAAUAUCUGAAAAUGGGCUAUUCCUGACCUCGUGCGAACUUCCCACAAUAUCUUAUUAGUUCUCUCUCUUUCUCCAAACUCAUGACGGCAGAACAAUCCCUUCUUUCAACCGGCUUGCCCAGUGCUGUGUGGCCUGCAGGUGCAGCUCCUGCGUGCAGUCUCGGUGUCCUUCCUUGCCAUGGAAGCAGAGGCCACUACUAACCUGUGCCGCUGCCCACCAUGGACAGGCUCCCUCCUAACACCCAAAAUACAUUGGAUAGCCAAGGUUGGCCCUACCCCAGCAGAGACAACAACACUCCAGCAGGAGAAACUGUCUGCUGCUGAUGAGACAUUGGAAAGUCUUGCCAGCGAUGCCAUAAACCCGAGUGCAAUGACGGUGCGCCAGACAGCCUGGCGGCAGCAGCCCUACGGCCAACCUGUCGACCCCAUCUUGAGCUGGGUGAUAAGGCCCAACUACCUCCAGCCAGAUGCCUCAAGCAUCUAGCUGCAGCAAGCGAAGUUGUGUUCAGGGACUCGACAUCAUCAACUGAGCAUCACAAUGGUGGUCUUAGCAGCCACCAAGUCUGGUGUCACUCCCCUGACAGUAGUGCUCCAUAACUGCCGAGGCACUGCGAGCUACAGCUGUGCAUUCCACCUCCUCGAGAACAUCUAUCCGCUUUGCUUUGGAGGAGCGCAUCCCUCAACGUUAUGGAGAGGUUCCAGCAGAGGAGCCGGACAUCGAGCAGCUGAGCUAUCCAUCCGAGCCACAGGUGCCUCCAGCCGCAAAACAGGCUCAAGGAAAUGUCUCCAGUGGACCACCAAAACCAAAGAACCUCAGCAACCAGACAACUGGUUGCUGCCGUUGCUCAUAGAUGGCAGCAGCAUUUCUUCAAAGGAAGGAGAGCAGGAACAGAACGAGCGGCGAUGUGCGCAACAGCGCGAAUGA